AAACUAACAAGGAUUCCCCUAGUAGCGGCGAGCGAAGCGGGAAGAGCUCAAAUUUGUAAUCUGGCGUCUCUGGCGUCCGAGUUGUAAUCUAUAGAAACGUUUUCCGUGCCGGACCGCGUCCAAGUCCCUUGGAACAGGGUAUCAAAGAGGGUGACAAUCCCGUGCUUGAUGCGACCCCCGGUGCACUGUGAUACGUUUUCAACGAGUCGAGUUGUUUGGGAAUGCAGCUCUAAAUGGGUGGUAAAUUCCAUCUAAGGCUAAAUACAGGCGAGAGACCGAUAGCGAACAAGUACCGUGAGGGAAAGAUGAAAAGCACUUUGGAAAGAGAGUUAAACAGUACGUGAAAUUGUUGAAAGGGAAACGAUUGAAGUCAGUCGUGUCGGUUGGUUUCAGCUUGCUCUGCAAGUGUAUUACCUUCCGACGGGUCAACAUCAGUUCUGGUCGGUUUAUAAGGGCAGGUUGAAGGUGGCACCUUCGGGUGUGUUAUAGCUUCCUGUCGCAUGAACUGGUUGGGACUGAGGACUGCAGCUCGCCCUUGUGGCCGCCCCUCGGGGACGUUCGAGCUUAGGAUGUUGGCAUAAUGGCUUUAAACGACCCGUCUUGA
rnacentral:rRNA from 1 species